UACGAAGGGGGCUAGCGUUGCUCGGAAUCACUGGGCGUAAAGCGCACGUAGGCGGAUUGCUAAGUCAGGGGUGAAAUCCUGGAGCUCAACUCCAGAACUGCCCUUGAUACUGGCGGUCUCGAGUCCGGGAGAGGUGAGUGGAACUGCGAGUGUAGAGGUGAAAUUCGUAGAUAUUCGCAAGAACACCAGUGGCGAAGGCGGCUCACUGGCCCGAUACUGACGCUGAGGCACGAAAGCGUGGGGAGCAAACGGG
rnacentral:rRNA from 1 species